AUUUCUGGGUGAUCAGAUUGCCUUGGGGCAACUGUUUGUUGUGAUUUGGCGCUAUAUAAAUAAAAUUGAUUUGAUUUGAUUGCCAUUUGUCAGGCCCUUUCUAACAAAAAAAUGUGCCAGCACCUGCUACAUUGCUAUUUUGAUGUCAAACGUCAGAGCGAGAGGUUUUCUGGCGAGGACAUGAUUCUAUAUGCAAAGUGUCGCAUUGCACGAGCGGGAGUGGCGGUAAUCCACCACAGCUCCCUGAUGUGAUGCAUCCUUCCUGCAACACCUCCUCAUCUGACAACCCAAUGAUGCCCUUCAUAUUGGACCAGGCGCAUAUAACCUCCCUAUUCGCCGCUGCACCUGGACAAUAAAACCAGUUCUGUUUUUAUGCCCCUGUGU